rnacentral:rRNA from 1 species
UACGGAGGGUGCGAGCGUUGUCCGGAAUCACUGGGCGUAAAGGGCGCGUAGGCGGCGAGGAUAGUCAACGGUGAAAGCUUGGGGCUCAACCCCGAGUCGGCCGUCGAUACUUCCUUGCUUGAGCACUGUAGAGGCAGAUGGAAUUCCCGGUGUAGCGGUGGAAUGCGUAGAGAUCGGGAAGAACAUCAGUGGCGAAGGCGGUCUGCUGGGCCGUUGCUGACGCUGAGGCGCGACAGCGUGGGGAGCAAACAGG